UCCCUUAGUAACUGCGAGUGAAGAGGGAAAAGCUCAAAUUUAAAAUCUGGCAGUGUUUCAUUGUCCGAGUUGUAACCUAGAGAAGUGUAACCUGUGCUGGACCGUGUACAAGUCUCCUGGAAUGGAGCAUCACAGAGGGUGAGAAUCCCGUCUUUGACACGGACUACCAGUGCAUUGUGGUUGUGCUCUCAACGAGUCGAGUUGUUUGGGAAUGCAGCUCUAAAUGGGUGGUAAAUUCCAUCUAAAGCUAAAUAUUGGCGAGAGACCGAUAGCGAACAAGUACCGUGAGGGAAAGAUGAAAAGAACUUUGGAAAGAGAGUUAAACAGUAUGUGAAAUUGUUGAAAGGGAAACGUUUGAAGUCAGUCGUGUUNGCUGGGGAUCAACCUGACUUAUUGUUAGGUGUAUUUCCUGGUUGACGGGCCAACAUCAGUUUUGACUGCCAGAAAAAGGCCAAGGGAAUGUGGCACCUUUGGGUGUGUUAUAGCUUUUGGUCGUAUGUGGUGGUUGGGACUGAGGACAGCAGUGCGCCGCAAUGGCAGGGUUUCGACCACAUUCGCACUGAGGAUGUUGGCAUAAUGGCUUUAAGCGACCCGUCUUGAAACACGGACCAAGGAGUCUAACAUGCAUGCGAGUGUUUGGGUGGAAAACCCUUACGCGUAAUGAAAGUGAAAGUUGAGAUCCCUGUCGUGGGGA
rnacentral:rRNA from 1 species